rnacentral:lncRNA from 1 species
CCAUUUCAAAUGGUUAGAUAUCUACGCACCCCCAAAAAACUUAGAAUUUUAACUGUACUUUAUGGAAGAUCUGUUUAUUGGUCUAUUUCCUUUGUCGUCUAUAUAUAGGUCAAGGCAUCAUUCAUGUAACAAAUGCACAUGUAUGUCCUUUUUUAUUUUUAAAAGUAGGAGACAAACCUUGGGCUAUAGAUAUUUACUGAAGGGAGGUCAGAGUAAGCUUUGUUUCUCACAAAACUAUGCAUUUUUUUUUCCACAAAUGACUAUAAUUUCAGUGAUAGAAAAGAAAUUCUAUGUUUUUACCCUUCUUUUAUCAGGGAAAUGGACUUCAUUUUACCAUUAUUUAAAAAAAUAGGAUGGAAAUGAAAGUGAAUUAUUUAGGCAAUACCCCUUUCAAAAUAGCAUGCCCCACAGUGUAAUAUAUUUUAGUAAAAAGACAUAAUUUAGUGAAGAAAGCAUUCAUCCUUUGAUGGAACUGGUAAAUCUACUGAUUGUGAACUUUAUUCAGGAAGAUGCCUCUGAAGCUAACAUAAAAGCUUCCCUAUAUAAAUGUAAUCAUUACUUUUUUUGGGGGGGGGUCUUUUGGUUUUUUUCAGGCUGCACCCAUGGCAUAUAGAGGUUCCCAGGCUAGGGGUCUAAUCGGAGCUGAAGCUGCUGGCCUAAGCCACAGCCCCAGCAAUGUGGGAUCUGAGCCAUGUCUGCGACCUAUACCACCACAGCUCAUGAUGAUGACAGAUUCUUACUUAACCCACUGAGCAAGGCCAGGGACUGUUAACUGCCGAGCCAUGACAGGAACUCCAAUGUAAUCAUUUCUAAUUUUUAGGGAGAAAAAACUUCUCAUGUUUAUUACUGGAAUAUGAUUUUCUUUGGGGAGGUAGAAGUAACUUUUAUUCCAAAUAAAACUUCACCUGAGUUUACAAAUAGAUGUGUGUUUAAUGAUGUUCACUUUAGCAUUGUUGGAUUUGUGGUAAAUUAUAGACAUUUUUAAAAGUUUACAAUUUAAUUAGAAACAUGACUAAAUAUCUUUGGGUAGGGAUUCUUUACACAAAGCAUUAUAUAUUACAUAGCAUUGAAAAUUGAUGCAACUCUCAGAAUAGAUUUUUAAAAUAAUAUUAAAUGAAAAACAUUGUAAAAUAUAUUUAUAGUGUAAUAUAAUUAUAUAAUUCAUCAGAUAUCACAAAACCAUGUUAUAUAUCGGUAUAUAUACGUAUGUACUUAUGUCUCUUUCUUUCUAUGUAUAUAUUUCUGGGCUUGUUGUCCUGUUCCACUGAUCUCUACUUCUGUUUUUGUGCCAGUACCAUACUAUAUAAUGCAGAUUUUAAUUAUAUUAGAAGAAAAUCCCACAGAUGGAUGUAAUUAGCUUUAAGAGGACAAAGUUGCAAGUGCAUGUCCUAGGAGAUGUAAGCAAUAUAAAAUUUGUGCCCAUAGAAGGGAAAUUAGCAACAGCUUAAGGAUGAGUUUUGGCAGCUGAAUGUGUACUUGGCUUAUUUUUAUGCUUAGUAUUUGUUCUGAGAUUGAGGGCAUGAAUAUCAGUAUUUGUCUUUACAUUUUAUUAUUUAUAUCUUCUUAUUUCUAAAAUUAAUAUGUUUUCUUGUUUUCUCCAUUGUUCAUCUGUCCAGGAAGCAAUUGAAUAUAUAAUUUCUCAAAAUAUGAAGAAAUACUAAAAAAAAUAAAACCCUAUGUUUAAUUUUCAUGUAUAUAACUUUUUGACUGAAAUAUAUUACAGCGUGAAAUACUUUAAAACAGAAUAAUGACUUUUGUUCGAAUACUUUUGGAACAGAAGCUGAUAAAAUAAAAUUCUUUGAAGGGAUAGAAGACUUGCCCACUUUUCUCAUAUGAUGUAAAAACACUUUUUCACUUAUGUUCAAAAAGUAAAUAUAAAUGUAUUUUAAUAUUUUAUUAAAUUAUCAUUGUUAAAGAACACAAUGUUCAUUUUUAUCAUUGCUCCCUGGAAUUAAUUCAAUGUCUUUGUUUUACCUCUAUGCCUUUAAGGUUUUUCUUUAUAUCAUUGAUUUUUUGCAAUUUGAUUGUAAUGUGCUUUGGCAUUAUUUUCUGUCUUUAUUCCACUUGAAGUUAAAUCGAGCAUCCUGGAACUUUGAGCCUAUAAUUUUCCUGAAGAAAAAUUUUAACUACUAGUUCUUCACAUUGUUAUGAACGAUUCUCCCUAUUCACUUAUUGGACACUUCAAUUACGUGUACAUUCUACCCCUUGAUAUUGUUCCAUAGAUCAUGUUUUCCAUUUCUUAUUCAACCUCUGUACGUUCAUUUUUUAAAAUUUCUGUUGCCCUUCUUUCAGGUUUAUUCAUCUUUUUAUCUGAAGUGUAUAAUCUGCCAUUAGCUGCAGCUAGUAUAUUUGUCUUUUAAGACAUUAUAUUUUUCAUCUCUUAAAUCUCCCAUUGAUUAUUGUACCUUCAGUUUCUCUGUCUAUAUUUUUGUUAGUUUCCUCAUUAUGUUCAGGUUUUCCUUUAAAUCUUUGAAUAUAUUCUUAAUAGAAUAUGUUAAGAGGUCACAUUUUCCCCAUCUUCCAUUGUUUAAUAAUUUUUAUGGACCUUAUGGGUGUAACACUCUUUGUUUUUCAAGAUUUUACUUUCUCGUUAAAUUAGGGAAUUCAUUUACUUGAAGAUCAGCCUGAUCCAAUAUAGGCUUGUUUUUAAGCUUUAUUAGGAUGGAUCUAGAAUAGUUUUUAUCCUAGUUAUAGAUUAUCCUUAUUCUAAAGACAUUGCCUUUCUGAGAUAUAACUGAGAAUUCUUGGCAUGCUCAAGAGAUCUCUCUAAAUUUAUUAUUUGAAAUCAAAUAUCUUAUAACCACAUGCGAGCUCUAGUAGUUAUUCAGUUGAUAGAUUUCCAACAGUUGUUCUUUCUGUGGCAAACUUUGUUUAUAUGAUGAGUUUGUCUUAGUUGGGCCUCUUGAAGCCUUGCUUAUGAUGAGAGAUUCAGAAGAAUAUCUAUGAAAUUUCCAGAAUUUUUUAAAAGAAACCUUCUCUUUUUCUAGUAGUCUGUUCCACAAAUCUCUGCUUGACUCAAUGGCUUCAACUCUAACAUAUUUCUCUCGUGACAAAAACCAUCAUGCCCUGUACUUUCUCUCCUUGUACCACAAUCUGGACAGAACUUUGGUAGAGAGCCAAAGAGUGGUAUGUCUUACUGUCAAAAACUUUGAUGAAUCCAGGAUUUACCCUACAUGCAAGUUAAAUAGUUAACCUGCCACAGUUACAGGGUUGCUAGUAGAAAAUACCAGACUCCUAGUCAGUAUGAGAAACAAAAUAUGUAUUACUUAUGGUACAGCAGGCAUAACAAACUUUAUGUUCAUGUGAGUUCCCCUUGUACUCUGGGUUUUAUGGGUGUGAUGCGGAGGUGGGCUGAGGUGGAUGCUUCAUAAGCUGUGAGUUUGUGUUAUAGCUGAAGAGCCCUGAACCUAUCAAAUCACAAUUUUUUAUAUGGGGUUUGUAAGAAAACUUGCCCAACCUUUGCCUAGAAGGGAGAUAACUACCUCACUACUCCACAUCUAUUUGUUAUACAAAUGUACUUAAGAAGAAUAAGGACAAGAGCCAUCAAUAUCCAUGUUGAAAAUAUGUGCAGAAAUGUGGGACACUCAUGAAGGACUGAUUCCCUACACUUGUCUCAUUUGUUUCACUCAUAUUAAAGAUCACCAUCCUGUGCUGCUUCUUGUUCAAAAUCUGAAAGCAAUUAUUUCAUAACUUAUAAUUGACCCACUUUUAUAACUGUUUCCACAGAGAAAACACUUUGGGUGAUAGUCACAUCAAAGAGGAAGGCUGAGUUUGUAUUGUUUUGAGGUUGGCAAUUUAAAAUAAGGUAAAAUGUCAUAUAAUGAUAAAUCUUUUGAAAAAUACAACAUGUUGCAAGAUGUUCCCAGGUAUAGUAUUUUUGCAUAAAUUAAAGAAUUAAACUAUUUCUUUCAAUUUCUUGUUUUAUAAAUGUAUAGGUCUGUGUGUGUUUAUGCACACACAUAGACAUGCAUUUGGUUUAUUAGACAUCUGCUAAUUAUGAUUAGAAAUAGGAAAUCUGCUAUAGGUCUAUUCUAAUUUUUUAAAAAAUAUUUCCUUUCAAAGAAGUGUGUUUUAUACCUGGAAUAUUCUUUUCUGCUUUUUCUACCUAGCUGAUAUCUUUUGUUCUUAAAGAUCAAAAUUAAAUGUGACUUUGUUUAUUCUAUACAUAGUUUUGAGUCUUUAGUCUCAGGUAGAAUAUAAGACUCUUAAGUGAAUCUCAGAGAAACUAACAUCUGAGAACACCAAUCUUCAUGAUGCAAAAUCUCUCUUGGAUAUUAAUAAGCAAUGUUGCAUAUUAGAAUCAAUACAGAGAAUAGUUUGAACAGAAGAUUAAAGGCAGCAAGAUAAAUUUGAAGGCAAGGGUUGAUAAGGCACAGCCAUAAUGGGAAAUAGGUCAGCAGUACUGGGAGUGUAGUUGGAGGUGAGUGACAAUGUGAAUGACUCGUGAGAAAGGAGAAUCAUCCGGGCUUAGAGAUUGCUUAGAUGUGGGCAAUGAAUGAGAGAAAGAACUACAGGGUGUUAUUUAUGAGGUUUUAUUUAGUUGACAAGGCAGAAUACUACUUUGUGCAGACAUAAUCUUUUCUGGACAUCUGUUACAAAAUAAUAUUUUAAUUUAAAACAUUUUAUAUUUUUCUUUUCCCAUUCAAUUUUAAGAUGAUAGUAAUCCUCAGUACAUGCUGAUUCAACCUUCACACAUCAUGAGUGGGAAUAAACAGGUCAGAGACAACCAAGUAACAUGUUGACUCCCUCUUUAUUCUCAACGGGCAACCAUGCCAGUUGAAGCAACUUGAUAUGGGCAGGCAUCACCGAGUUACUUAUAAAUAUAAUGAAUCUAUCAUCUCUCAUACUGUUGCCCUUGUUCCUAGCUUCCUAAAACUCAGCACUAUAUACUUUCCUCUUUUUUUCCUUUUGUUCCUCAAUCUUCACUUCCUAGCAUUUCUGCUCUUCACACCCACAGGAUAAUAGACUCUGUUAAAUUGGAGUUCCCAUUGUGGCUCAGUGGUUAACGAAUCCGACUAGGAACCAUGAGGUUGUGUGUUUGAUCCCUGGCCUUGCUCAGUGGGUUAAGGAUCUGGCGUUGCUGUGAGCUGUGGUAUGGGUUGAAGACGCAGCUCGGAUCUGGUGUUGCUGUGGCUCUGGUGUAGGCAGGUGGCUGUAGCUCCAGUUGGAUCCCUAGCCUAGGAACCUCCAUG